rnacentral:lncRNA from 1 species
GGGGCAUAAUUUGUUUAUUUUUUGUUUGUUUUCCGUCUUUGUUCUUCCGACUGGUAAGUUUUGCACUAGUGGUCAAAUUAUUCUCUUGGUAUCGUCUGAUUUCUUAUAUGAAUAUAAAUCAUGUCCUUAAAUUUUCAAUUGCACAAAAUACGAACAUUUCAACGUCUUUUUUUAAAUAAACAAUUAAAUUCACACGUCUUUCAUUAAUUAUUUGUAACCUAUUAUAAAACUUUACGUUGAGUACUGUGUUUUUCGUUCAAGACUACGGCUUUUUAAAACGAUAUUGUUGGGUCAAUUCAGGUUUCAUUUUAAUUAAUUUGAUAUCAAUAGAAGAAAAAUUGUUACAUGUUUAUUUGUUUAUUUGUUUAUAAUUUUGUUGUGAGGCGUUUUUUCUUUCUGUUGAUAUCCGAACACGAAAUGCCUUCUCCUACGCGUCUAAAACAAAACAAAAAACAAUGUUUUUAAGUCAGGCUGCACACAGAACAACGUACAGAAUGCUGUGAUUUCUAAUUGGAGUUAUUUAGAUAAUUUCUAUGAGGUUUAAGACAGCACAGGCG